rnacentral:rRNA from 1 species
GGUUUACUUGGUUUAGAUAAGAAAUUUCACCUGCCCGCUGAAAAAUUUUGAAGGGCCGCAGUAUUUUGACUGUGCAAAGGUAGCAUAAUCAUUAGUCUUUUAAUUAAAGGCUGGAAUGAAUGGUUGGAUGAGGUAAAUUCUGUUUUAUAUUUAUUGUAAAUGAAUUUAGAUUUUAAGUAAAAAGACUUAAAUUUUAUUAAGGGACGAGAAGACCCUAUAGAGUUUAAUAAAUAUAAUAAUUAAUUAAGUUAUGAAAAAAUUUUUGGUUAUUAUGACAUUUAUUUAAUUGGGGUGAUUAGAAGAUAAAUAAACUCUUCUUUAAGAUUAAUAAUAUAAUUAAUUAUAUGAUCCAUAAUUAAUGAUUAAAAGAUUAAAUUACCUUAGGGAUAACAGCAUAAUUUCUUUUAAGAGUUCAAAUUGAAAAAGAAGAUUGUGACCUCGAUGUUGGAUUAAGAUUAGUUUUGGGUGUAGAUGUUUAUAAACUGGGUCUGUUCGACCUUUAAAAUCUUACA